UUCGUGACACUUGCAGAGUUUACAGGCUUCGACACAGAAGACAACAUUCCUGUCAACCUUCUAGUGUUGCCAGUACUUGGCCCAAGCUAAUGAUGCUUAACAUACUGGGUCACAUGACACAUUUACCUGUUACUUGAGUGCUCAGCUGCACGAUAUGGUGUUAUCAUUAUACUCAUUUACAUACAAGUUGCCUCACAGAGAUCAUGUUUUGUGCGCUGAGAUGAGGCCACUGUCCAAGUGUCGGCGUCUUUCUGUGCCCUGGCCUCCUUAGGAAAGGCUCCCUGAUCCAAACUGGCGCCCAGCAGCUUCCUGCUCACAGAUCCUGAAGCCUGGGAGAAGACAAAACCAAUUUCAAAGGAAGUUCAAAUGUGGCAAUUUCACAAGAAGCAAACGCCAUUGAAUCAGUUCAACCAAGUCAAGCCAGCAAGAAUGCAGUCCUGCUUAUAACCCUGUGGGGACUUGUACCUCGUCCCCAACUUCUUUACUCUCCCUGUUUGACCUGCACCAUUUGCUGAAGAUGCUGUCUUUUUUUCCAAUAUGUAUUUCUGACUUAUUUAUCAGAAACCAGGCUUCCAGAGUUUGUUUAUGUGGUGGAUUACAUUUAGUGAUGUUCAUAUCUCAAACCAUCCCUGCAACUCCAAGAUGAAGGUUUCUUGAUCAUAGUUGGUGAUCCUUUUGGUGUGUUCUUAGAUUCUGUUUAACUUCCUUCCGGGAGAGGCCGUUGUCCUGAAACACUGCAGCAGACCUGUGUGGAUUAACCCAGAGCAGCCUGAAAAGGAGAUCCAGUUUCCCCAGGAACUAAAGCAACUCUGUUUUGUUUAAAUCAACAUUACUAGUGCGAGUUUAAUACACAGCGUGAUGGUCUCAAGCCAACGAAAUUUGCAAGCCCACUGGAGGCACUGCCACCCUACCAGACCUAUAAAGCCUGCGAGCCAAAUUCCUCUGUGCUCCGGCCCUGGACUUUCCGAGAUCACCACUGCUUUCCUGAACAGUCCUGCUGUGUGGUGGCUUCUGGUGACAUGGACUUUUCCUUGCUUUCAUCAGCUUCUGCUACAUAAGCUCUCAUGAUAGACAGAGGAGAUGGAGGGUCCUUCAUACUUGGAUAUCCUCCACCCCAGUUUUGGGUUCAGAAUCCAGGGGACACCCAGCAGGUGUUCGGGCAUUGGGGAGAACCCAACCCAAAUGUGCAUUUCUUUAUUCCUGGACACUGGCAUAUUCUAUCAUGACAGAGGUGACCAGCUGAUGGGCAGCAGUGUACGGACCCUGGGACCAAACAUGUAUGUACUCCAGAAAAUGGUUUCUGAAAGGACCAAUGUACUAUCACCAUACACAUGUCAUGAAUGUGUUUGUUCCAUUGCUGAAAACAUUUGCCACAGUGUCACCAAGAGUCCUUCCUCCUUCAGGGGCGAGUUCUAAGCACUGGCUCAGGGCUGAAAUUGCAGGAUCAACUGUGGCUUUCCCACUGAUGUGGGUGACCUCAGUGCUCACCCACCCAGGCCACUCUAUUUUUGUUUCUGUAGCUAUGAUGAAGUACUGUAACCAAAAAGCAGCACAGGGAAGAAGGGCUUUAAUAGGUAUAUGAAUCUGACCGCAGUCAAACGACCUUGGGGCCGUCAACAUAGGAGUUCAGGCAUCACAACCCAGGGAAGAAUCCAGAGAGAAUAAACAUGCCAACACCUGCUUGCUUGUUUUUUGUUUUUUACCGCAUCUGAGAGCCCUGCCUAGGCAAUGGUAACACCCACAUUCAGAGUGUGUUUCCCCAACCUGCACGAACAAUCGAGACAACCCCUACUUCCCAUAGAACCAACGACGCUUACCAGAAACAAGUUAUCGGAUCAUGGGUGACAGUAAACUCACUGGACAUAGCAUGGCAUCUUGAAAAGCAGGUGUGUGGAUAUGUAUAAUAUUUUUGAUGCUCCAGUCUGGCUCCAGUGUGCCCCCAGAAGCAUGUCUGUAUGAUGUAUCUUAGACUAGGAAGUUAAGAGAACAGCAUGUAGGUGAAAUGACUUCAUCAAGGAAUUCCCUACAUUUUAAGGCAGAAUUAUGGAAAGUAUAUUAAGACAUUCCUCAACGGAAAAAAAAAAAAAAAAGGAAAGCAAGUUUCGAGCAUUAGUUCCCAUCAAUAGUGAAUUUCCCUCUAAGUGGGAAUGGGUUCUCAUCCUUUUAAGUCAAAUGUGGGGCUAACCAGCAAGCCCUCCUUUCCCCCCACUCCCCCGCCCCGUGCCUCCACCUGCUGUGUAGAUUUAAAGCACUGCCAGGUGGCUUUUUAAUCAAUCUGUGGGAAGCGAAAUCUUUGUGCUUCAAUUAAAAGGUGCUUUUCCCAGUCUGUUUGUACAUAGGAUUUAGGCACCAAAUCUCCUAAGUUGUGCUAAUAGGUGUGACGGGACUUCCCUUUGCCAAUUAACCAUGCACCUUUUCAUCUCCUGAGCUCUGGCUUGCAGGAUUUGAUCUCCCCUUGCUGCAGAGUGACUUUGAAAGGCCAACAAGUGCUGUGGUUAGUCCUAAUUCACUACCUUCUGGUUCUAGUCCCCAGGCCAGUUCACCGGCCCCAUCAGGUCCCUUGAGACAGACAUCACAGCCUUUUGUGAUUACCCAAAGUGACCACUAAAGGUCACUCUUAGUCCAUUUUCUUAACCCAGUUUUGUGACCUGUGCUCAGGUAUAAUAAAAAUCAUUUACAGAGGCAGUGAGGACGCGAUCUGCACAGGAAUCCCCGCCCACCUGAGGCCUAGGAGAACUACAGCUUAUAAGACCUCUUUUCGUCAAUGCUUUCCCUGAAAAGUUAUCAAGAUUCAUAAAAACUUUUUUACAAGUGACUAUAGCCCAGAUGUGAAAGCCAGCAGUUCUGUUCUGGGCCCAGAUUUUCGAGAGGAGAAUAAGUCAUUUUUAGGAAACACACUCGAACCUUUACUGAGAUAAUAAAUUAUACUGUCCCCAUCUGAAGAGAGAGGAAGGAAGUUUGUAAAAGGUGCUUGCCAAGAAUCCGGAGCCUAAAUCAUCUGUAAGGGACGACUUGUGUACAGGACCUACUUCCUCUCUGCAUGCAGGCGUGGGGGAUAGAGAGAGGGCUCAGAUUUAAAAGUUUUGGUUUUUUUGGAAACAGAGCACACUUUUUCCCCCAUAAUUUGUGGGCAACUGAAGUUGAAUGGUUGAUAGACAUGUUUAAUAUCGCAGGUAAUAAAAGUUAAAACACUCCAACAAAUAUCUUUUAUUGUCCCAAAAAAAGUGACAAAAAGUUAAAGUCAGAACAUGGAAGUUCUUAAGACUCCAGGGAAAGAAAGUCAUGUCUUUCCGUCCUGCAAACAGACGCAAAGACAACCAGAGUAGAAAAUGUCUGCUUUGGGGGCUACCUCUUUAUCCAUUAGGAUUUACAUUAAGGAAACGUCCCUUUGUCCCAGAAAUACCUGCAGUGAAAUCAAGUACAACAAACAGACAGAUGUAUCACAACCCAAAAGCUUAUUGUUGACAGGAUACAUACGUAUUCUAUACCUAUUACUGUGGCAACUUUGUUUCAAAACACGGAAAAUUUAAAUUCCAUCUGGUAAGUGCUCCGUGGAUUUCAUCCUUCAUCCUUCGGCUCUGAAGUUUCUUCCUCUGCCUUGUUCCAUCACCAACACUGAAAACAUCCAUCUGAGAGUUAGAACUGGAAAAACAAUUAGCCUUGCAUUCUCUUUCAGAACUUGCUUCCAUUGUUCGCUAGACACUCGUGUAUCGUGUGGAUAAAAGCAUUAAAAGAAUCAUCUUACUAUUUCCCCCCAAAAUAUAAUGUUUAAAAUACUCAUUUGCCUGUGAAAUUCAUAAAUUGGCAAGACACACAGCAAAAGACAGAGCCCAGAACGCUCACAUGUGUGUUUGCUGUUUCCUCACACAAGCAGUAUGUGUGAAGAAUUUGUCCUAAUUUGUCGUGGUAAAUUAAUGAGACUGACCCAAACAACCAAGCAAAGCUCACAUUCUACAGGACUUCCCAGAGCGAGUGUGAGGAAAGUCUUGGAAAUCCACCAAGUAGUCUUUCUCAUCCAAAGAAAUCGGUGGUAUUGGGAACAUGGCUCGGUGACUGACAUGUGAGUUACCCAUGCAGGGGGAUCUGAGUGAGCUUAGAUCCCUGGCACCCACAUAAAAAUCUGCAACCUCAGAGCUUGAGAGGCAGAGAAAGGCAGACCCUGGAUAGGUAGCCCAGCCAACUGGUGAGCUCUAGUUUCUGUGAGAAACCCUGUCUCAAAAUGUGAGCUAGACCUCUGCCUUUCUCAGACACAUGAAUUCCUCCAAGAACCAGAAAUGGAAAAAUCAACAAUAGAUGGGUGUAUGUAUAAUGUGUCCAGACACAAGUUUGUUCCCAUCCUUCAUUUGGCCUCGAUCCUCUCAACAUGACAUGUCUGUCCCUUUGUUUAUCUGGGUAACUGAGCCUUUAUAAUUCAUUCAAAUUUUCCCUGUGGUUAUUAUUUGCAUAUUCUUCUUCCUGGUAAUGAAAUUAAUGACCUUGAGCUUGUUCUUCUUCCACGCAUCACUUAACUCUUUCUUCAGAUUUAGCCUUUGCUGAUUUUUUUCCAGAAUGUUCCCCAACUAAUACUCCAAGUCUGUAUCUGUGGGUCGCUUUCUCUGCCUACUCUGUGUUUGGUUAGUUAUGUUUCAGGCAUGAUGCUCCUACUUGGUUUUUUGAUGGGUUGCAUGAUGUACGCAGCUUAUCACAGUUUUAUAAAUUAUCAUGUUCAUUUUUUUAUAAAAUGAUUUGUUUCUUCAUUAUGUUCCCUCUACUUCAGUAGAAUAAAAAUUUCAAUUUAA